CUCCGUUAAUAUUCCGAGCUGUCUGCGAUGUUCUAUUUCCAAGAAAGAACUCAUAUUUCAAACCUGUACGAAUUUCCAACUUGUCUAUCUCUAAACAAAAAUAGCAAAAGAUGAUUUAUAAACUCUUUAUAAAGCAUUGCAAAGUCGAC